rnacentral:rRNA from 1 species
GAUGAACGCUGGCGGUAUGCCUAAUACAUGCAAGUCGAACGACAGGACAAUAAGAUCGUGCUCUUGCUGUUAGCGGCUGACGGGCGGGUCACACGUAGAUCGCAUUCCUCUUUUUCUUGGAUGAUUUCGGGAGGCCAGUGAUACUACCGGCGCAUAUUUUGUACCGCUUGGUUCAAAGGUGCAUGACGGUUUUGCUGUCACUUAUAGCUGGUUUCGCGCUGCAUUAGCUAGUUGGUAAGGUAACGGCUCACCAAGGCGACGAUGCGUAGCUGAUCUGAGAGGAUGAUCAGCCACACUGGAACUGAGACACGGUCCAGACUCCUACGGGAGGCAGCAGUGGGGAAUCUUGGACAAUGGGCGCAAGCCUGAUCCAGCCAUACCGCGUGGGUGAAGAAGGCCUUCGGGUCGUAAAGCCCUUUUGUUGGGAAAGAAAAGAAGCAGGUUAAUACCUCGAUGUUCUGACGGUACCCAAAGAAUAAGCACCGGCUAACUUCGUG